rnacentral:lncRNA from 1 species
CUCAAGGGAAUCCUCCUGCUAGCCAUCACUCUGUUGCAAGAAUAGAUGGCCAGACCUCUGUGAUACCAGGGUUGAGCAGACAAGAUUGUGACCAGUUGAUGAACAUGUUAUACCAGACCAAGUUAGGGGAUUCUACUGCUCAAACUCCACCUCCCAUAUAUGCUGCAAACUUUGCUGGUACUAUGUUGACUGAGAACCCUUUUUUCUGAUUCCAAACUUUGCUUACUUACUCAUAUUAAUUCUGUCACCUGGAUUAUAGAUUC